rnacentral:rRNA from 1 species
UACGUAGGGUGCGAGCGUUAAUCGGAAUCACUGGGCGUAAAGCGCACGUAGGCGGCUUGUUAAGUCAGGGGUGAAAUCCUGGAGCUCAACUCCAGAACUGCCUUUGAUACUGAGGAGCUCGAGUCCGGAAGAGGUGAGUGGAACUGCGAGUGUAGAGGUGAAAUUCGUAGAUAUUCGCAAGAACACCAGUGGCGAAGGCGGCUCACUGGUCCGGUACUGACGCUGAGGUGCGAAAGCGUGGGGAGCAAACAGG